CACGUAGGGCGCGAGCGUUGUCCGGAAUUAUUGGGCGUAAAGGGCUCGUAGGCGGUUUGUUGCGUCGAAAGUGAAAAUCCGGGGCUUAACUCCGGACUUGCUUUCGAUACGGGCAGACUAGAGGUAGGCAGGGGAGAGUGGAAUUCCUGGUGUAGCGGUGGAAUGCGCAGAUAUCAGGAGGAACACCGGUGGCGAAGGCGGCUCUCUGGGCCUUACCUGACGCUGAGGAGCGAAAGCGUGGGGAGCGAACAGG
rnacentral:rRNA from 1 species